rnacentral:rRNA from 1 species
GUACGUUACCUACAGAAGAAGCACCGGCUAACUCCGUGCCAGCAGCCGCGGUAAUACGGAGGGUGCGAGCGUUAAUCGGAAUUACUGGGCGUAAAGCGCAUGCAGGCGGCCUGUUAAGUCAGAUGUGAAAGACCCGGGGCGUUAACCUCGGAAAUUGCAUUUGAAACUGGCAGGCUAGAGUCUUGUAGAGGGGGGUAGGAAUUUCAGGUGUAGCGGUGAAAUAGCGUAGAGAUCUGAAGGAAUACCAGUGGCGAAGGCGGCCCCCUCGGACAAAGACUGACGCUCAGAUGCGAAAGCGUGGGGAGCAAACAGGAUUAGAUACCCUGGUAG